rnacentral:tRNA from 1 species
AGUAUGAGUACUGCAAAUGUAGGUUACUGCGAUAUAGUAAAUUUUAGAUAAUUUUAUCUCCAUAUUA